GCCCGCUUAGCUCAGUGGCAGAGCGCGUCACUUGUACCAGAUACAAUCUGGGAGAUGAUGAGGUCGGUUGUUCAAUCCAGCCAGUGGGCA